UUCAAUAGGCCUUGGAAAACUCUUCUGUUAUUGUGAUAUUAGCUCAAUUACAGAAAGAAGAGGCUGUGAAAUCAUUAGCAAAGAUAACUUCAGCAGCUCAGAUUCAGUUAAUGGAUGGAGUAAUAAAUCAGUGGUUACUGAAUUCAAUUUGUUGGGGCUGUCUAGCUCUUGGGAACUCCAAGUCUUCUUUUUCUUUAUCUUCUCUGUGUUUUAUGGAGCUGCAGUGUUGGGAAACAUCCUUAUCAUCAUCACAGUAAUUAUAGACUCUCAUUUGCAUUCCCCAAUGUACUUUCUUCUUAGCAAUCUCUCUUCCAUCGAUGUGUGUCAGGCUACAUUUGCCACUCCCAAGAUGAUUGCAGACUUCCUCAACGAACACAAGACCACCACUUUCCAGGGAUGCAUGUCACAAAUCUUUUUCUUGCAUGUUUUUGGGGGUAGUGAGAUGGUGCUUCUUGUUGCCAUGGCCUAUGAUAGAUACAUUGCUAUAUGCAAACCUCUGCACUACAUGACCAUCAUGAACCGGAGGGUGUGAACUGUUCUGGUGGGGGUUUCCUGGGCCAUUGGCAUCUCACACUCAGCCACCCACCUGGCAUUCAAAGUCAAUCUGCCUUUCUGUGGACCCAACAGGGUAGACAAUUUUUUCUGUGACCUCCUCCUAGUGAUCAAGCUUGCCUGCUUAGACACCUAUGGUUUUGAGAUACUGGUGCUCACUAACAGUGGUCUGCUCUCACUUAUGUGUUUCCUCCUUUUGCUCAUUUCUGACACUAUCAUCCUUGCUACUGUGCAUCGCCAAGCCUCUGAUGGGAUGUCCAAGGCCCUUUCCACUCUGUCUGCCCACAUUACUGUUGUGCUUCUCUUCUUUGGCCCAUUAAUAUUCAUCUAUAUUUGGCCCUUUGAAAGCUUCCCAAUUGAUAAAUUUAUCUCUGUGUUUUUUUACUGUCUUCACUCCUCUCCUUAACCCCAUGAUUUAUACUCUGAGGAAUAAAGAUAUAAAGGAAGCCAUGAGGAAGCUAAGGAGAUGACAUGUGGGUUCCAAGCAGGGUUUUUAGACAACUACAAAGAAGUAAUACAAAUUCCUACUUUUGGGCUUUGAAAUUAACAUAUGUGAUUAUUAUUAUUGUGUUUGUAUCACAAAUAGUUUUUUUACUAGACUAAAUUAGAGGGCCUGAAUAUGGUGAUCUGGAGUUGGCAAACACAGUGCAGAAUCUUAUGAUGCCAGUUCCUAUAUUCUGUGUCUCACAUCAUCCUCCCUAAAGCUGCAUCUACAAGUAUUAAAACCCAUAAGCAGUUUUUCCUCUUAAACAGGCACCAUAAAAAAUUAUCUCUGAGAGGUAGAGGUAAGAGGAUCACUCAAGCCCAGGAGGUCGAGGCUGCAGUGAGCCGAGAUUGUGCCACUGUACUCCAGCCUGGGCAACACAGUGAGACCCUGUCAAAAAAAAAUCUCUUGCAACAUUUAAAAAUCAGCUCUAUAUUAAAGAAGAUUAGCUAGUUCAUGUGAUUCACUCU
ensembl:lncRNA novel transcript